rnacentral:rRNA from 1 species
AUGGCUGAGAGGGAGGGUCUGGCAAGGAGGCGACGGGCGGAGGGAGAAGUGGCGGCCGGCGGGUGUCUCUGGCGUGGCUGGUUUCCAGAUGAAGUGCAGACCGAUACCAUGGCGUAUGGCAUCUUCUGUUUACCCAAGCAUGCCCUCAUUCCUCUGCACAACCUACCCGGGAUGACUGUCUUCAGGAAGAUGCUCUUUGGUUCCAUGCACCUUAAGUCGGAUGACUGGGCUAGAAGUAACUCAGAGGAUGGCGCUAAUGCGCUCAUCACCUCAUAUGGGGCUCGUCUAGCAAUGAUAAACACAAACACUAUUGUUGACGCUUCAGCCGAGGCCAUAAUUAUGUACCCUGAAAACAGAGGCAACCUACAGUGCUUCAAGGUGCUUAGCACUUGCGCUAUUCUCGACGUGAUGGGACCCCCUUACAACAGCGUUGCUGGCAGGAACUGCGCGUACUACAGCGAGUCUCGAUUCUAA